rnacentral:lncRNA from 1 species
ACCAGCUUUUACUAAUAUCAUCAGUUUGGUCUUUGUCUCCUAUUUCCUUCUAGUUCAUCACUAAAAUUAUAUUUAUUUUUAAAUUUGAGUAGAGUUUAAGAUUUCCAUUCCAUCUAUACUAAGCUGCUAUGUGUGUGGUCAAGGCCCCGGGCUCUGAAUACAGGUGACUUCAGUUUCUCGCUCAGAGCUGUGUCUUCCCAGCCAGGGACCGCCUAUGUUGCUUCAAAGGAGGAUGACAGAGUGAUUGAAAAGAUUACCGGAAUUAAGCCUCCUGACUCUCUUCUCAUGCACCAGGGUGCCUCAUGUUUCCAAUUUCUAUGAAUUCCUGGAAUUUGACCAGCAUCCUGUUCCCCCCAAAAAGCUGCCAUAUUCUUCAACCUGGAAGAUUCAGAGACCAAGACUCAAGGUUCUCAUUGGCCGCAAUAGAACCUGGGACAUGUGAACCCCCCAGAUGAGCAAGCCAGUUUUGCUGUCCUGUGACUCUCCACACACAGAGACUGAGGUGCUCAUUGUCUUCAGGGAGAGAGCAGAUCUUCCAAGAAUAAUGGAGUCAAAACCACGCAAUUAUUUUCUCAAUUUAGAGGGUUGACAAGAGACAUGAAAUCCCCCAACUUUCAAAUGUAAGGGCUGGAUAUUUAAAAGAGAAAGUUGUUUUCUCAGAAAUCUCAAAGAUGGGCUUUGAAAUACCAACUCACUGAGCAUAAAAAACUGAACUAUAGAAUUCUAAGUAUAAACAUAGAGUAGGGAGAUGUGGAAUAGGAAAAAUGUGUAGAGAUUUGAGGUAAGCCCAUUCUUACCUGGAGCAGUACGCUUAGAAAGGGAGAGAAGAGACAGAGUUGAGAUAAUUCUGACUUUGGUAGCUCUGGGACUAAAAACCUUCUGUGGGAGAAAACAAAACCCAGGUAGGUCAAGAAUGCAGAGGCUGGAGUACCAUUUCUCUUUAGAAAGUCUUGAAAGGGAUCACCUGAUAAGUAAAUUGAACCACCUGUGCCAGGGUAGAACUGUUUAAUCUGAAAGUAUCUUAAAUAGAUCCUUACUUUCCACUUCAGCACAAAAGUGAAAACAAUCCAAAUAUUCCACUAUAGUCCUGUCAGAGCAACAAGGAAGACAAUGGAGAAUGGAGAAUAUCAGUUUGUGUAAUAACUAGCUGUUUCCAUUUCUGGGAAAAUAUUUGACACUCACAUUUUAAAAGAGGAGAGACUUCUUUUGGUUCACAGUUUUAGAGAUUUCAAUCCAUGGCUGACCUGGCUCCAAGGACAAAUCAUCAUGGCAAAGGAUACGGUGGAGCAAAGCUGAUCGCCUCAUGGCAGCCAGAAGUGGAGAGCAAGAGGAAAGGCAGAGAUGAAGAAGCCAGGGACCAUAUAUAGUCCCCAAGGUCACAUUGUAUUACCUACUCCAUCCAACUAGCCCCACUUCCUCCACUAGCCCCCACUUCCUGCUCUAGGCCCCACUUCCUAACAGCCCAUUCAGCUGUGAUCUCAUCAGUGAGGUUAGUGCUCUUUCAAUCCAAACAUCUCCCCAGGAGUCUCUUAAUUCAGUCAAAUUGACAAUCAAGAUUAACUUGCACAGUGUGUAAAGAGUUCUCAUACCUUUAGCAUUUUGGAAAAAUGCUACGGUAUAGUGAAAUGUGACCCCGAGCCUAGGCUGUGAGGCAAACAACUCAAACCAGGAGGCAGAGGAGGAACAUAGAAGGAGCACAGAGUGUGAACCUCAGUCGACAGAUUUUAAGUCCAAAUUUCACUAGUGACUGAGCAGACUUGAAGUAGACAGAUCAAACAUUUUCUAGACUGAAUUGGUAGCAGAUGGGUAAGUUAGAUAAUUUAUCGGAAAUGAUUUAUAUUUUCCCAAUAGUGUAUACAUUGUACCUACAACAAAGAUGGACACACCAAGUGUGGGGACACUGAAGGAAGUAAAAAUCAUAUUACAUUGGGGAACAGAGGGAUCAGCCCACUAUCACACACUUUUACUCCCUUUAAAGUGAAAUUAUGGAAUUUUGACAAAUAGAAAUGAGGCAGAGACAUUUCAGACAGCAGAAAAGGGUCAGCUAAGGUCCAGGAAAUGGGAGGAGUUGGAAAAGCUUGAGGAAAUAAACAAUGGUCCAGUUUGGCUAGAAUCUAAGGACAUCUUAUAAAACUCUACACCUGCUCUGCUAGAUUCCUGUGCUUUGUAUCCAAGUGAUGAGAAAAAAAUUUGUAAACCUCUACAGGAUAAAGCACAUACUAAGUUAAGUGAACCUAAAGACUUAAUGUGCAUCCCUUAGAAACUCUGUUAUCUCUAUCUCUGUUCCUUACUUCAAAUGCAGUAGGUAAGUUUGCUACCACAUGAUGCCUCUGAAUGCUCUAUAUUCAGACUUAACCUGGAAAGAGAAGAGGUCUAACAUCAAUAUUUUGUCCUUUCUUUCGAUGCUAGGAAAACUUUCCCCAUUCUGCCUGACCCUAUUCCUUAAGUGGAAGCGUACCUAAUAAAUGGAAGAUGGUGAUUCAGUAGAAUUUACGCACUCUUUAUGUUGACAAAUCUUCAAAUGUGAUCUGAAUGUACAAAAAUUGAUCUCCUUGUUUCUCUCACUUUCUUUAUUUCUCAUCUCUUCAUAUCUAUUUAGAACAAUAUCUAGUAUAUAUCUGAU